UCUGGUCCUUGUGGCCCGCCGCCGCGGUCCUACGGCAGGUCCGGGCGUUCUCCGGCUUUAUUGGGUUUAAAGGGAGCGUAGGCCGGAGAUUAAGCGUGUUGUGAAAUGUAGACGCUCAACGUCUGCACUGCAGCGCGAACUGGUUUCCUUGAGUACGCACAAAGUGGGCGGAAUUCGUGGUGUAGCGGUGAAAUGCUUAGAUAUCACGAAGAACUCCGAUUGCGAAGGCAGCUCACUGGAGCGCAACUGACGCUGAAGCUCGAAAGUGCGGGUAUCGAACAGG
rnacentral:rRNA from 1 species